UACGUAGGGUGCAAGCGUUGUCCGGAAUUAUUGGGCGUAAAGAGCUCGUAGGCGGUCUGUCGCGUCUGCUGUGAAAACUCGGGGCUUAACCCCGGGCCUGCAGUGGGUACGGGUAGACUAGAGUGCGGUAGGGGAGACUGGAAUUCCUGGUGUAGCGGUGAAAUGCGCAGAUAUCAGGAGGAACACCGGUGGCGAAGGCGGGUCUCUGGGCCGUGACUGACGCUGAGGAGCGAAAGCGUGGGGAGCGAACAGG
rnacentral:rRNA from 1 species